GUUGUGGCCGAGUGGACUUGCUAGGCGGUUGGUGCCGUACGUCGCUGGUUCGACCCCGGGCUGGGGCGAAAAUUUUCAGUACCUAGUUGUGAUUAUUUAGUACUUUAUAUACAUUAAUUAAUUGAUUAUCACUUCAGUUCAAUGUAGUUUCAAUUUUACAGUUAUUUUCGUGUGUGCGCGUCCACAAGCAGCAAAUUCGCGAUCCAAGUAUCAGAAAUUCGCCGUGUUCCGAACAUUUUGCCAAUUGUGGUCAUGGAGAUUUUAACAUAUUUCCAUUUUAUAAAAUGUAUAAUGACUGCGAAAUUUUCAGAGUUGUCUAAUAUUGUGUGUAUUAUACCGCUACCAGUGUAAUUUAUUAUGACGUCACAAAGGACAAUUACUUACGUCGUGAUAUGUUAUUUAGCAAUAUUAUUUCAUUUUAUAACUGUCUGAAGAGGCAUUAAGGUAGAGACCGAUAGCAACCACGUGAUCAGUAAAAAUCGUGUAUUUUCACGUGAAAUUAUUUUUCGGAAUUCCGUACAUCGCCAUAGAGUAGUUGAAAAACAAAAAGGGGUUCCGAAAGUACAAGUUGUUGCUGUGACUGAAUCGAUGACUGAGAGGGUCGUCUCGACGAAAGAUAUAGAAAUUUGGCCAUAGUUUAGAUUAGGAAUACGUCAAUGUAAUAAUAGUGGACUAAAUGUUUCGUCCGUGCAGAAUGGCACUUUUUACCUCACGAAAUUCACCACCAUGCAUAGCUGCGCUACGUAAACAAAGUUGUUGAUGUAGCGUGAUCGUGAUGUCCGAGUGCUGCGAGUUUCAAUACUGUUUAUGUAGUCAUUGAGAGUUUAAACAAAGUUUCUUCUGAGAAGAGGAAUUCGAUGGAUGCAUUCAACGCGGACAACGAAAUCAUAAUUUCGUUUGCAUCAUCCUAAGGACCAGUGCAAGUUGAAAUGGGCUUCCAGCCAACAACUUCAACAGCAAUUUGCCAUGAAAAUCAGCAAGAAAGGUACUUCAUUUACAUUGAUGAUGUCAUAUCUCCUGGACCCCACAACUUUACAGGUUACAGAGAAAAUUCAAGAACUUCUGCAAAAUAUGGGACUUGGAUAGAAUCAAUAAUGUAUUUGUGAGCCCAGAGCAAUGGAUAUAUUGUGCAACAUACUAAAGUGUGAAUUUAAUGGAAAACAAGUACAUGUACUCAUGUAUUACAUGUCUUUUUUAAAGACAAUAAUAUUGUAUAAAUAUAGAGGAAGUGUCAUUGUUGAUUAUUCUAAGUUUUUGAUAUAUCAAAAUCAGUAAACAUUUCUAAAUGAAAAUAAAAUACCAAUUUUAUAACUUUAA